GUUUUGAUGUCUAAAGUAAUUAUAAGUUCACAAUUCAAUAAGAGAAACCCAAUGAAGAUUUCUGCAUGAAUAAGCUCCCAAAUUGGGUUAUUCAGGAAAUGUAGUUACUCCUUUGAGGAAUCAGACAUUUAUUUGCAAAGACCACUAUCCCAGUUAUUAGUUGUACUUUGGCAUACCGUAUCGGUACAAUGAUACAUAUUUGCAUUGCAGAAAACUGUAUCAUUUCAAUGGGGGAAAUCGUAGUUCGGUUGAUCUAGGAGUUAGGCUAAGAUUUUCAUGUUCCCACGACUCUAUUUGUAUCCUAAUAAACACCAACAGAGAUAGUAAUCAGACAUGGAAUCAACGAAGGCAGCUUCUAAGCUCGCUGCGAUUUUGUUUGGCAUUGAAUUUGUUGAUCCAUCUCUUUCCUAAAAGCAAAUACAAAUACCAAGUCAAACAAUAUGAAAUAUGAGUCAUUUAAUGAAUUUUGAAGGCACUUUA